rnacentral:lncRNA from 10 species
AUUUCCGUAGGAGCGAAGUCGAAUGGCGCCCCCAGCGGCUUGGGGUGGGAUCUCAGUGCCUCAUUCCUGGCGGCCCCGGGAGGGCGAUGCCAUGCCAAAUGCCGGCAUGCUGAAACUCAGAGAGGGAAGAUGUCUUGCAAGUACAGCAGCCACACCCAGGCAGGUCCCGUGCUCUCUCUUAGUUUAUCAGUGUUCCCUGACAUGUAGUGGUGACAUUGUUAAACACCUGCGUUUACUAAUACUAGAUUUUUUUUUUUUUUUUUUUUGAGAUAGAGUUUCGCUCUUGUUCCCUGGGCUGCAGUGCAGUGGCACCAUCUCGGCUCACCGCAACCUCCGCCUCCCAAGUUCAAGCGAUUCUCCUGCCUCAGCCUCCCCAGUAUCUGGGAUUACAGUAAAAUUAAAACAGGCACAAUGAUAUCCUGGAUGACAAGAGCUGGAGGCUGUCAUUCUAACAAUGUAGUGAGACUGGCUGUCUUGUCUCAUGCCCACCCCUGGAAACAUGCGCAGGAACUCAAAGCACCUAGCACAGAGGAAGUGUCUGGUUGUUUUAAAGGAAAAACAAAACCAAAAAAAGCACCUCCUGCUCUGACCACCCCUAUUUCCAGUUUUCCCUUUUGGCACAGCAAAGAUGACCUUGGGACUGAGGUGGAACCAUGUAAUUCUUCGUAAUCCCAGAGUCAGGCAGACCUGGGAGAUAACAUCCAUCUCGAAGGAAGAUCUGGCCUGAAGAGCAGUCACUCUUGCCUGGCAUGCAGAGAAUGCCAAAUCAUAUUAAUGACUGGCCAGAAUGAAGUGCGUGACCUCAUCACUCCAUAACUGACAGGAAACAACUGCUAGGGCAAGAAAAAAGGGUCUCCAGUGAGUAUUCUUGUCCACACACAUCCCCACUCACGUUCCUGGACCACUGCAUCUAACUGCCGCAGCAGCUAAUGAACCUUCUGGAAUAAAGGACCAGUUUCUUAAGAAGGGAUUGAGACCUCCAGUGGCCUCCCACAUUGUUUCCGGCAAGAAUUUAAAAAUUAUUUGUAACAUAUAGUAAUAAAAACUAACCACAGGCUGGGCGCAGUGGCUCACGCCUGUAAUCCCAGCACUUUGGGAGGCUGAGGCAGGUGGAUCACCUGAGGUCAGGAGUUCGAGACCAGCCUGACCAAUAUGGUGAAACCCUGUUUCUCCUAAAAAUACAAAAAUUAGCUGGGCAUGGUGGUGGGCGCCUGUAAUCUCAGCUACUCAGGAGGCUGAAACAGGAGAACUGCUUGAAUCUGGGAGGUAGAUGUUGCAGUGAGCCGAUAUCGCGCCAUUGCACUCCAGCCUGGGCAAUGACUCCGUCUCAAAAAAAAAAAAAAAAAAAAAAAACUAACCACAGCUACUAUUUAUGAACUCUAGUGCCACACCCCAUUUCUUCCCAGGUUUCACCCCCUCUUCCCAGGUUUCACCCACCCCAACCAGUGUUGUUUGCAACACUUCAGCUUCUCUCCUCACGAAGCACGUCUCCAGAGACGCCUCUUCCGCAACUUCCCAGGGAAGCCAUUUCUGCCUGGACCCACCACAGCUCCCAACCUGUCACGCACCCCUGGAGGGUUUUGCUCUGUAAUCCUGAUUUAGAAAUCCUCUUAUAUGAAACCACUGUAAUCCACAUCUGGUUAGACAAUUGGAAAAGUUCAUUGAAAGGAGAAAUAAUAAAAAUGGCAUCCAUCCCUUAAAUGUUGUAUGCCAACGUAAAACACAUUCGACAAUGACCCUGGGCUAAGGCUCUACCUUACAGAGAAACCUGUAUCGGUGUUCCCCUCCAUUUUCCUUACAUAAACCAACCAAAAAUCUUCAGUUGUUCCGUUCUCUGUCUCUCUCCCUCUCCACACCCACCUUCCCUCUUCCUCUCUCCCUCCCUCCCUCUCUCUUUCUCUCUUUUUUGAGACAGAGUUUCACUCUGUCACCCAGGCUGGAGUGCAGCGGCUAGAUCUUGGUUCACUGCAGCCUCCACCACUCCCCCCACUUCCCCCCCGCCGCCCCUGCCCCCACCGCAGCCUCCCAGGUGGCUGGGACUACAGGCCACCACGCCCACUAAUUUUUGUAUUUUUUCUAUAGAGACGGGGUUUCAUCAUGUUGCCCAGACUGGUCUCAAACUCUUGGGCUCAAGCAAUCCUCUCACCUCAGCCUCCCGGUGCUGGGAUUAUAGGCGUGAACCAUCGCGUCCGGCCUCCCAAAUCUUUUACAGUUGUCUUGUUCACUUCUCAUUCAGCAGCAUUUUGAGUUGGGAGGGGUAACAACUCACCUUAAUCAAGUCUCUCUAAAGCAUUCAACUUAGUUUUACUAGGUUCAUUUCUUGUAGCUCAUUGGUUUAACUAAUAGUUCCCCAAAUCACAUCCUACCAGUAUAAAAGCACAACUGGUAUAAACACGUUUGGGAACACACAUAACUCAAGUAUCAGGAUGUAAGAGCGAGAGCAUGGGGAGAGUUAAGAAUUUCUCACAGACUGAUUCCCUCCCACAUUCAUCCCUGGUGUGUUUAUCCGUGUUAGGGCUGUUCUGAUGAAAGUCUUGUAGGACUUGGCAGCAAGAUGGGAAAGAUCCAUGGAAGUCCAUUGCUCAUAGCUGAUGAUGAUCUCUCAUUGCUGAGCUUAGGGUUGAAAAAGGAGUGCCAGGUCCUUUGAAAUCAAGAAGAAUUUAUGAAUCACCUUUCAUUUAUGGAGCCCUUAGCUCAAAGCUCUAAAGUUAGUCUUUUCUCAAGAUUAUAUCCUAUUUGGGAAUGCUCAUAAUGGUCCAAUCACCAUUUGUGAAAACUUACUGUGUACCAGCAAUAAACACUCUUCUACAUAGACAAUCUCAUUCUAAUAUAAUUUCUGUGCACGUUAUAGAUUCUAUUUCUGAAACAGCCCUAUGUGGUAGUUUUAUUACUAUCCUCAUUUUCACCCAACAAAUCUGAGGCACUGAGAGGUUAAGGACCUGGACUGAAGCUGCACAGCUAGAAGGUGACAGACCCAAGAACAUUCUGUAGGGACUCAAUAAAG